UCUCUCUCUCUCUCUCUCUCUCUCUAUUUCAUAGUUUCUGUGUAUUGUGAAGAUCCUCUUUACCUCUCUUUCCCACAUUCAUCAAUAUCUUUUCUUCCCUUGCUGCCUUACGUUUCAUGUAGUCCUUCUCCUUCACAUGUGAAAUCAAACCCUAAUUUUCUAUAUGUGGAAGGAAAUUUUAAUUGGAUGCGUUUCCUUGACUACAGAAAUGAGUGUGGCAAGGAGAGGUAAGGAGGUUCUUCAAACGCACAUUCCCCAGCUUUGGCGUUGUGCGGCGGGGCGGUUUCGAUUAAGUCAGCAUUGAAGGCAAGGAUUCAUCAUGGGCCCCUAAUGCUGGCGGACUACCAAAAUGGAUCUAUUUUGAUUUGUACUUGGGCCUUGAAUGUUGCAAAAUGCGUGGAAGAAAUGGCAAAACUGUCAGAAGUGGGAUUUGAACCCACGCCCUCUCUCAAAGACCAGAACUUGAGUCUGGCGCCUUAGACCACUCGGCCAUCCUGACCUGAUGUGGGGUAUGGAGAAGGUAUUUUUAUGUUUUAUAUAGCAUUGGUAAAUUUAAACGCACGAUUUUUUUUUUGACCGGAAUUCAUGGUUCAUAUUAGUAACAUACUACCUUCAAUCUUAAUUAUAAGAGCUAAUUAACUAA